CUCUUAUCGAGAGUUGGGCGAGGGAUUGGCCUUUUGACCCCAACAGCAACCGACCGUAAUACCAUUGUGAGAUGGGGCGCGUGAUAUUUGCGCCGAGACAAAAUUGUCUCUUAAGGCACGGUGCUAAUUCCAUCAGACGUGAUCUGAGAGAUAAGAG
rnacentral:ncRNA from 2 species